rnacentral:rRNA from 1 species
ACAAUGCGGAACUAUUUAGUUUUGCAAUUGGAUUGAGAACAAUGUACAAAUGUUAUCGAUAAACAAUUGGARGGCAAGUCUGGUGCCAGCAGCCGCGGUAAUUCCAGCUCCAAUAGCGUAUAUUAACGUUGUUGCAGUUAAAAAGCUCGUAGUUGAAAUGUGGGAUGAAGUAUAUGAUGAAUUUAAUAUUCAAUUAUAUAUUGAUUCCCCUCUCCAAUUUAUUAUUAUGGGUAUUAAUUUAUUUGUAAUAAGAAUUGGUCAUUUACUGUGAGAAAAUUAGAGUGUUCAAAGCAGGCAUUUGCUUGAAUAGAUUAGCAUGGRAUAAUACUAAAAGGCUUUUAUGGUCGAUUUAAUUGGUUUGUUCAUAAAAGCAAGAUUAAAAGGAACAGUUGGGGGUAUUCAUAUUCAAUAGUUAGAGGUGAAAUUCUCGGAUUUAUGGAA